rnacentral:lncRNA from 1 species
UUGCACUUCCCGAGGCCACCGAUGUGGUCGUCUACGGCAACUCAGCGCAUCUGUUCUUGUCUCCUGUCCCACAGAGCUUAUUAGUUUUGGUGACUCCAAGCAGUAACGAGAAGGUCCCGAGUUAGGGUAAGGAGCUUGUCAUCCUGGGCUCACCAUUCCGGGGUCUCUCAUGUCGUCCACGGACCAAACAGGGCAUCAGGUUUCCUUGUCCUUGAUUCGGGUAAAUAUGAACCAAACACGAAUUAAUGAUGACAUGAUAUAAGAGAAAGAUUUAGUUCGUUCUAGUCUCUCUCCGUCGAAGGUCAUCGAUAGGUGGAUUGAUACGUCCCGUCCCUAUCAUGCGUUGCUGUUGGAUUCCCCUGUUGGAUGAGAGAUGACACGGAUAGCCGCAUGACUGAUGGAGAUGGACCAUGGAGGGAUUAGGUUGGGUCCAUGGGGAGCACAGCUCGAAAACAACGUACCGUCUCCCUCCUCCUCCUCCUCCUCCUCCAUCGGUGUCGAGGACACCCUAAGUCCACCUUAAAGCUCCCUCCGAUUUGAUGGCACCAAAGGAUAGGUCCAUCAUUUGUUGUGGCUGUAGAAAGGAGUGGGGUGAACAGAAGAAGCUCACUGCUCGUGGAAUCUUCCACCACCUUUGCGAGCAAAAAGAGAAGGCUCCUCUGCUGGGCAUGUGGUGUGGCGACCGAGAGAGGACAGUGCUCAUUGUAACUUCUCAUCCAUCCUCUUCUUUUUCUGGCUUGUCCACGCAAUGCUUGCU